rnacentral:rRNA from 1 species
GGGAUUGCCCUAGUAACGGCGAGUAAAGCGGCAACAGUCAAAUUUGAAAUCUGGCUCCUUCAGGCCCAGUUGUAAUUUGUAGGGAUGUUCGGAGUGCCCCUAGUUCCUUGAACAGGGUCGCAGAGGGGAGAAUCCCGUACGCGGCCGGGUGGCGCCCCCGUCCGAAGCUCCUCCGACGAGUCGAGUUGUUUGGGAAUGCAGCUCUAAAUGGGAGGUAAAUUUCUUCUAAAGCUAAAUACCGGCCAGAGACAAUAGCGCACAAGUAGAGUAAUGGAAAGAUGAAAAGCAAUUUGGAAAGAGAGUUAAAAAGUACGUGAAAUUGUUGAAAGGGAAAGGGUUGCGACCAGACUCGACCGUCGGGGUUCAAAUCUUCCAGGAGGGCUCUGUUGGUUGCGGUCGGGCCAGCAUCGGUUUCGGCGGCCGGACAAAGGCGUCGGGAAUGUGGCUCCCCUCGGGGAGGGUUAUAGCCCCUCGCGCAACACAAUCCCCCGGGGCCGAGGACGCGCUCCGGCAAGGAGGCUGGCGUAAUGAUGGCCAUCGGCCCGUCUUCAACAACGCGCAAGGAGUAGUCCAUCUAUAGGAGUGUUCGGGGUCAACCCCCAACCAAUAAAGUGAACGGAGGUCGGAACCCUUGGGGGCCCGAUGACCGAUCCUUAGUCUUCGGAUGGAUUUGAGUAAACCUAUGUUGGGACCGAAAGAUGGGUGAACUAUGCUUGAGUAGGCCGAAGCCAGCGGAAACUCUGGUGGAGGCUCGCAGCGGUUCUGACGUGCAAAUCGAUCGUCAAAUUGGAUAGGGGCGAAAGACUAAUCGAGC